UUAAAAGACAGGCUUCAACGUGACAUGGCGCUGCUCUGAUGCAAAGGGAAAAGCUGGAGUGAUUGUUGGUUUAUACAUAAAGAUCAGCUCAGGUGAUUCACAGUUCAGUGAAGUAAUGGAGGAAACACAUUUUUCACUGGGUGCAUUGAGUAUCUUCAUUUUACUGACUGUGAGGUGCUGUUGUGAAGAAAAGGCCUACAAUCCACUGACAGAGGCUGGAUCGGACCGUGAUUUGAAGAGAUUUGAUGACAUCGGUUAUGACAGCUUUCUGGGUCUGAUGGGACGGAGAAAUGCUGCUCUGACAAACAGGGACACUGAUCACAGCCUUGCUGAUCUGUUGGGGUGGAGAACAAGUAUGACUAGUCUGCGUGAAAACAGGUAUGCAGAAAAGAGGAGGCGGUUUCACUGAUGAUGGAAGGCAUAGGAUGGAACGCUUUGUUUAAUGGACACAUGACACAUACUUCUAUCAUGAACCCUCAUGGUGAAACUUCGGCUUUUCCAUCGCGCUGUAAACCCUCAGGGCUACUGUGGACAAUGACCAUCCGCCCAUCAAAUAUUAUUCAGUCAUAGUAACCCUGCAUGAAUGUUCCUCUGCUGUGAUGAGAAAAAUGCUCUGUGCAAAUACAUGUAAACAAAAUCAAGAUAUA